ensembl:lncRNA uncharacterized LOC114849018
CAUUGCUUUGCCAGCUGAGAUCAGCAUUUGUGCAGAUGAACAGGUCUUGGCGGGAGUAUGUGACGGCAGCAGCUCCAUAUGACCUGGCUGCCAUUGGCUUAGUGGAAAAUGAAAGCACGCCGUGAAUGAGCUGCCGUGGGACGAACCUGUCGCCCUCAGAGCGUCUCACAGGCGCAGGCACGAGCAGGAGUCCUAGACGGCGGCGCAGAGGCUGGAGGCUGGAGAUGGAGACGCUAAAAAGAGUAUUUUCUCGUAGGACUUUAAGGAGGGGGUCGAGCAUUCUGUCCACGUCAGACAACGUGCAGGAUGAACCUAAACCGGAAGAAGCCCUCCCCCUACAACUGAACCACAUGCCCGAGAAAGAGCCAGCGCAGAAGGAGCAGGAGGAGCAGGAGGAGCAGGAGACGGUGCCGUGUAGGAACCUCUCUGAGCUCCUUCAGAUGCGUCCUGGUUCAGACGUCAACACAUCGGUGGAUGGAGUCCCUUGCCUUGAGUGCACUGACUCAAACUCAGAGCAACAAAAUCAAAAUCAAGGCGGCAAUUGCCUCGUUCAGUUAUAUGUAUCCCAGCAGUUCCCAGAACCACCAGAGAACCAGAACCUUCAUCAGCACCUGCAGAACAUCCAGACCACUGUGCUCAACGAGCUCACGGGGCUGAGUCCUGUGUUGGAUGAGCGUCUGAUGGGUCAUCUGAUCAACUGCUACCAUAGACAGACAUUUAACCAAAUGCAUCGUCUGCUCCAGAACAUCAGCUCCACCCAGAACCACUUUGUGCUGAUGAUGUGGGUCCUGAAAACCUACCUGAGUCAGGAGCUGCUCGGACACCCUGACCUUCAAAAAGUAGAUCCCAUCAAAAACAUAGACCUGCUGCUGUUUACAGAGUGGGAAGCGAAGGCCAGAGACAAACUGCUUCAGAGCGUGCAUGAAGAAGUCGCCGAGUCUCUGGAGAACAUCCUGCUCAAUGAGAAAACCCAUGAACAAUGCAACAGUGAGGAGGAUUAUGUCAGAGUCUUCGUGGACACCAUUCAGUGCAUCAAAGCUGUGCACAAAGCAGCACAACAAAUCAGCUCAAAGCUGUCUGAUGAUGUUCAGAACGUUUGUUUUCAGCAGCUGCUGGUUUUUGUAAAGAGGUACUCAGACGAGCAGACUGAGGGUCUUGGAAAGAAAGCAGUGAUGCCAGAACCAGAAACAAUUCAAUUCUUAAAGACUCUGAAAACCUGUAAAGAACUCAAACAACACGUUCAAGUUGAAGCUGCUGGAGCUUCGUAUUCAGGGGAAAUUGUUAAAACACUGGACAAGCUGGAGGUUUUCACUCUGAACCUGCUCCUGGACAUCGUCAAUAAAAUGGCAGAGGCUAACCUCAGCACGUACUUCAAAUCAGACAGCAAGUGUUUCUCCUUGCUUCCUGCAGUACAGAAACGGUUUCCAAAGCAGUGCUAUGGUGCAGAUGAACAGAAGAGGGUUUUGAACAAGGCCUACAAGCUCAUAGUUCAGAUUUAUGUCAAACAUCUGAUCAAGACCAACAAGCGUCAACUGGAGAGUUGUUGGAAUCCUGACGUCAGCAAAACCAUCGGUGAAGAUGCUCAUGGAAUUCACAGCAUCAUGUCAGAGCUGGCCCCCGACGUUCCACAGCAGAACCGACUACUGCUGAAGGUCAAGGAGCUGUUGGACUGCGAGUGCAACGAGGCGCUGAAGCUCACAGCUGCGACCAUCCAGGAAGACUUUGGCAAGGACCCAGAGCUCCUGCCUGCCCUGCUCAAGUGGAAGGGCCUUCCUAAAGGGCAGGUGAGGGAGGUGCUGGAGACCAUUCAACACGACUACCACCACCAGUCCUGUUGCUCAUCUGUGAAAUGCUGGUAAAGACAACAGGAGGGGGGUGGUGGUUACUCCUGGUGGACUCCCUACAGACCGGGGUCCUCGGGUUCCCCUCUCCCAGGCUGGGAGUGUUUGCCUCUGGGUCUCCUGGGCUGCUGCAGCUCUGCCCGGGGGUUCUGUGUUCUGUUCCCUCCUGGAACUGAAGGUGUGUGGGCUCCCUGGCUACUGGGUUUCCUCCCUGUGCUCGUUGACUGUGUGUAGCGACUGGGUUCCUCCCAUCAUCACGGCUUGUACAUGUGGCAUUGUUCAUGCACCAACGUCUGUCUCACCUUUUGGGUGAACAAUGUUAAGCUACAGCUUUACUAACCUUGUAGUGGGACGCUCAACACCUCAGCUGAUAAACAGGCUUUGUAAACUUAGCUGUAAGUAUUACUGGUACUUAUCACCAUCAAUAUCAAUAAUGUGUAAUUAUGGUAGUUGUGAUGUUAUGUCACAGCUAUUAUUAAGUAUUAUGCGAUUAUGUAUAAUAAUAUUUAUGCAUAGAUGUGUAUGUACAGUAUAUUAUAUAUGUCUGUAUGCACAAGUGUAUGCACACGCCUUAACACAAGUAUUAAUAGUAAUUUAACAGUUAAAGCACAGUACAGCAGUUAUUUACUUAUGAACGUGUCCGCCUAAGGUAUUUAUUUAUUUAUUUAUUUACUCUAUUUACUGUAUUUCCUAUUUUUUUGCUUCAUUGAUUCGCUUGGUCUCAGUAGGUUUUGCACUCUCUCUACUACUUCCUCUGUAGACUCACAUCCUUCCCAGAUUAGCUGGAAUUACAAUAAAAUGACAGGACCUUGGCUUAAUGACGACUGU